rnacentral:tRNA from 1 species
UGUUGUGGAGGGAUAUUUUACUUUUUACUUUUUUUUUACUUUUUUUUUAUGAUA